UACAUCCUCAAUUCACACAUCUUUCUCUCUUCAAUUCUCUUUCGUAUUUUCCCAUUUCCUUUGUCCUCCUUUCCUUGCCAAUUUCCCUUCUUAAUAAAGAGCUAGAACACCCUUUGGAGUAGCAGUAUUCAAGUGUUCGUGAAGGCCUUGGAUCGAUAGGACGAGCAGAAAACAAGAGGAGUACACUAGUCUGGCUUCGAAGAAACACCGAGAUUUGUUUCCUAAUGUUUAUGAGUAUUGAUCGAAUUAUCGACUUAGUUCCUGUAGAUCCUGAAAUUGAAAGGACUUCUCGACAAAGAAGAA